rnacentral:rRNA from 1 species
AAGGUAGCAUAAUCAUUUGUCUUUUAGUUGGAGGCUGGUAUAAGUGGGGAGACGAUGUCUCGCCUUUCCUGGCACACGCACGAGAAUUUGAUAUUUGCGUCAAAAAGCGCAAUUUUCCGGAAAGACGAUAAGACCCCGUAAAGCUUUACCUGAGUCUGGGGCAGUAUUUGGACCCUAGAGCCGCCAUGGCGGGGGUUGAGCUGGGGCGGCAUUCAAACAACCUUGACCGAAACAACAUACACACAUGAGUUGGCGGAUCUAACACAGAGAUGGAACAAGUUACUUCGGGGAUAACAGCGCAAUUCCCUCGGAUAGAUCUUAUAGAUGGAGGAGACUUGCGACCUCGAUGUUGAAUUGAGGGGCCUGAGCCGAGCAGAAACGGCUGCAGGAGGUCUGUUCGACCUGUAAAACCUCA